rnacentral:rRNA from 1 species
CAGUCGCCACGGUAAUACGUAGGCGGCAAGCGUUGUCCGGAAUUAUUGGGCGUAAAGGGCUCGCAGGCGGUUUCUUAAGUCUGAUGUGAAAGCCCCCGGCUCAACCGGGGAGGGUCAUUGGAAACUGGGAAACUUGAGUGCAGAAGAGGAGAGUGGAAUUCCACGUGUAGCGGUGAAAUGCGUAGAGAUGUGGAGGAACACCAGAGGCGAAGGCGACUCUCUGGUCUGUAACUGACGCUGAGGAGCGAAAGCGUGGGGAGCGAACAGGAUUAGAUACCCCAGUAGUCCCUGUCUCUUAUAC